rnacentral:rRNA from 1 species
UUCCGGUUGAUCCUGCCGGACCCGACUGCUAUCGAAGUGGGACUAAGCCAUGUUAGUCGAACGUCUUUCAACUAUGUGAUUGGCGUGGCGUACGGCUCAGUAACACGUUGUUAACCUACCCUGAAGACGUGGAUAACCCCGGGAAACUGGGAUUAAACCACGAUAGAUCAAGAUACCUGGAAUGGAUCUUGUUCCAAAGGAAGGAUGAGCAUGUUCAUCUAUUUGCCUCAGGAUGGGACUGCGUCCGAUCAGGUUGUUGGUGGAGUAAUAGCCCACCAAGCCUGUAACCGGUACGGGCUUUGAGAGAAGGAGCCCGGAGAUGGACACUGAGAAAAGAGUCCAGGUCCUACGGGGCGCAGCAGGCGCGAAACCUUCGCAAUGCACGAAAGUGCGACGAGGCUACUUCGAGUGCCAUCCGCUGAGGAUGGCUUUUGUCAGGUGUAAAAAGCCUGGAGAAUAAGGGGAGGGCAAGUCUGGUGUCAGCCGCCGCGGUAAUACCAGCUCCUCGAGUGGUCGGGACGAUUAUUGGGCCUAAAGCAUCCGUAGCCUGCUCCGUAGGUCUUCUGUUAAAUUCAACGGCUCAACCGUUGAGCUGCAGGAGAUACCGCAGAGCUAGGAGGCGGGAGAGGUAGACGGUACUCCAUGGGUAGGGGUAAAAUCCUCUGAUCCAUGGAAGACCACCAGUGGCGAAGGCGGUCUACCAGAACGCGCUCGACGGUGAGGGAUGAAAGCUGGGGGAGCGAACCGGAUUAGAUACCCGGGUAGUCCCAGCUGUAAACGAUGCGAGCUAGUGACGGAGUGGUUCCGUACCAUUCCCGGUGCCGCAGGGAAGCCGUUAAGCUCGCCGCCUGGGGAGUACGGUCGCAGACUGAAACUUAAGGAUUGGCGGGGGGAGCACACAGGGUGAGCUGCG